CCAGAUUUCCAGGAACAAACAUCUCAAAAUCAAACCGGUUGAACAGCAGAUGGCGACCAAGGAAUGAGUUUGCGCCCCCCUCAUCUACAAACACUAAAGAGAGCGAAAAAUCGAUUCAGCUGGGGAAGGUUCGGAGAGUAACCUCCUCCUCACACAGACCAGAUCCCCACAAGUUAGUAGUAGAAGGAAUAUGAACGAACGAAACAUGGUCAUACGUGAACCCGCGCACCUGCGGACGAUGAAGUCCUGUCUUCUUCUUGACGCGCUACCUGCACAGACUCGACCAAUCGAUCACGUUCACCUGGAUUACAAGAUGGGUUUUGGAUGCCUUAAUAAAAGUGGACGCUAGAUGGCAG